UGACUGACAGACAACAACGGUUUGACCUAAAAACAUCAAAAGUUGAACUACCACGGAAACAAAGACACCUACAUCUUGGAUGCCCUUGAGUCAGCGAUGUUAGCAGGUGGGAUGCACUGUUCCAGGAACAGAUCUUCAUCUUCAUCAAAGUUCAUGUCCUCUGGGGGCCAGCGAAGCUCACCACUCUCCACUUCACUAACAUCAGUGGGCUCCACCACAAUAGACGGCAAGCGUUCCUUCCCUGGUUGUACACAUGUAAGAGUCCCGUCUGAACCCAAAACUACAUCCACUGGGUCUGGAAAGAUCUGCAAAAUAAACAAGAAACAAAGGGAAUGACUACAAAAACCCCACACAUUGGAUCCUGCUGAAAUCUGUCUGAGUAAUGUAAUUAAAUACAAUCAGUGAACAAUU